UACGUAGGGCGCAAGCGUUAUCCGGAAUUAUUGGGCGUAAAGAGCUCGUAGGCGGUUUGUUGCGUCGGCCGUGAAAACUCAGGGCUUAACUCUGAGCCUGCGGUCGAUACGGGCAGACUUGAGUUCGGUAGGGGAGACUGGAAUUCCUGGUGUAGCGGUGAAAUGCGCAGAUAUCUGGAGGAACACCGGUGGCGAAGGCGGGUCUCUGGGCCGAUACUGACGCUGAGGAGCGAAAGCGUGGGGAGCGAACAGG
rnacentral:rRNA from 1 species